GAUGAACGCUGGCGGUAUGCUUAACACAUGCAAGUCGAACGAAGAUUUUUAAUCUUAGUGGCGGACGGGUGAGUAACACGUGAGAAUCUGCCCUUAGGAAGAGGAUAACAGCUGGACACGGUUGCUAAUACUCUAUACGCCGAAAGGUAAAAGGAAAUAUCCACCUUAGGAAGAGCUCGCGUCUGAUUAGCUUGUUGGUGAGGUAAUGGCUCACCAAGGCGACGAUCAGUAGCUGGUUUGAGAGGGCGACCAGCCACACUGGGACUGAGACACGGCCCAGACUCCUACGGGAGGCAGCAGUGGGGAAUUUUCCGCGAUGGGCGAAAGCCUGACGGAGCAAUACCGCGUGAGGGAUGAAAGCCUGUGGGUUGUAAACCUCUUUUCUCAAGGAAGAAAUUUUGACGGUACUUGAGGAAUAAGCAUCGGCUAACUCUGUGCCAGCCGCCGCAGUAA
rnacentral:rRNA from 1 species